AUUGAACGCUGGCGGCAGGCCUAACACAUGCAAGUCGAGCGAGCGGCGGACGGGUGAGUAAUGUCUGGGAAACUGCCUGAUGGAGGGGGAUAACUACUGGAAACGGUAGCUAAUACCGCAUACCAUCAGAUGUGCCCAUAUUGGAUUAGCUAGUAGGUGGGGUAAAGGCUCACCUAGGCGACGAUCUCUAGCUGGUCUGAGAGGGUGAUCAGCCCAACUGGUACGGAGACACGGCCCAGACUCCUACGGGAGGCAGCAGUGGGGAAUAUUGCACAAUGGGCGAAAGCCUGAUGCAGCCAUGCCGCGUGUAUGAAGAAGGCCUUAGGGUUGUAAAGUACUUUCAGCGGGGAGGCGUUACCCGCAGAAGAAGCACCGGCUAACUCCGUGCCAGCAGCCGCGGUAAUUC
rnacentral:rRNA from 1 species